rnacentral:lncRNA from 1 species
CCGGUGUGAGGGUGGAGGGGCUUGCCUGUUCGUGUUAGUAGGUUGGGGAGUGACCAAGAUUGCAUCAGGGCGGCUGGAGGUACGUCUAGCUUGCUCAGGAAUGUUUUGCUUGAAGAGAUAUGAGGGUCCGGUAAGGUUGGAGACAUUCUCAGGGACGUGUAGGUCAUUUUGGGCCAAACGGACAGAGCUACCUGCAUCCACAUGCACAAGAUUGGCCCCAUAUGAGCCUUCACUGACCUCUUUCAAAAU